ACGGAAGGCAGCAGUGGGGAAUAUUGCACAAUGGGGGAAACCCUGAUGCAGCGACGCCGCGUGAGUGAAGAAGUAUUUCGGUAUGUAAAGCUCUAUCAGCAGGGAAGAAAAUGACGGUACCUGACUAAGAAGCCCCGGCUAACUACGUGCCAGCAGCCGCGGUAAUACGUAGGGGGCAAGCGUUAUCCGGAUUUACUGGGUGUAAAGGGAGCGUAGACGGUUCUGCAAGUCUGAUGUGAAAGGCAGGGGCUCAACUCCUGGACUGCAUUGGAAACUGUAGAACUAGAGUGCCGGAGAGGUAAGCGGAAUUCCUAGUGUAGCGGUGAAAUGCGUAGGUAUUAGGAGGAACACCAGUGGCGAAGGCGGCUUACUGGACGGUAACUGACGUUGAGGCUCGAAAGCGUGGGGAGCAAACAGGAUUAGAUACCCUGGUA
rnacentral:rRNA from 1 species